UACAGGGGGGGCAAGCGUUGUUCGGAAUUACUGGGCGUAAAGGCGCGUAGGCGGCCUACUAAGUCGGACGUGAAAUCCCCGGGCUCAACCCGGGAACUGCGUCCGAUACUGGAAGGCUUGAAUCCGGGAGAGGGAUGCGGAAUUCCAGGUGUAGCGGUGAAAUGCGUAGAUAUCUGGAGGAACACCGGUGGCGAAGGCGGCAUCCUGGACCGGUAUUGACGCUGAGGCGCGAAAGCCAGGGGAGCAAACGGG
rnacentral:rRNA from 1 species